rnacentral:rRNA from 1 species
UCUGUAGGCGGUGCGGCAAGUCGGGAGUGAAAUCUCUGGGCUUAACUCAGAGGCUGCUUCCGAAACUGCCGUGCUGGAGUGCGGGAGAGGUGAGUGGAAUUGCAGGUGUAGCGGUGAAAUGCGUAGAUAUCUGCAGGAACACCAGAGGCGAAGGCGGCUCACUGGACCGCAACUGACGCUGAGAGACGAAAGCUAGGGGAGCAAACAGGAUUAGAUACCCUGGUAGUCCUAGCCCUAAACGAUCAGGACUUGGCGUGGGCCCCGUACGGGGCUCGUGUCGGAGCUAACGUGUUAAGUCCUGCGCCUGGGGAGUACGGUCGCAAGGCUGAA